UUGUGCUAGGCGGGGAGCUAGCGGUGCCCUUUACCCGAAAUCCGCUUAUGCGGGGCUGAACUCCCUCCCUCGGGUCACGCUGAAAACAUGUUCGACCGUCGGGCCGGACGCCGUGCAACAGACGGUCUCGAACCUCGUCAGGUCCGGAAGGAAGCAGCGAUAAGGGAUGCGGUCUGUGUCGCGGAUCGAUUCCGGUGCGUAUGCGGACAAACAUGUUGAUGCCGAUUCAAAGGAGGGUGCACAA
rnacentral:SRP_RNA from 1 species